ensembl:snRNA U6 U6 spliceosomal RNA
UUGCUUUGGCAACAGAUGUACUAAAACUGGAACGAUACAGAGAAGAUUAGCCUGGCCUCUAUGUAAGGAAGACACACAAAUUUGUGAAGCAUUCCAUAUUUUU